rnacentral:tRNA from 4 species
GCUCUAUUAGUUCAACGGUGAGAACUUUAGCCUUUCAAUCUAACAACACCGGUUCGACUCCGGUAUAGAGUA